AUGUGUGCUCAUACACAUUUUAGGUGCCGUAAAACCAGCUAGAAGGCCUCUCAUUAGUUGGUACAACAAAGACAAUGUUGGCAUGCUGCACAAAUUCAUGGUGAAAGAACCCAGGCUGUUGUGGAACGGACUUUUACGUACAUGGUGAGAACAUCAUUAGAGCAAGCUGAAAUUCCAGUACAUCUAACAUUUUCUCCUUGUUAUCACAUGUGCAAACUGUUCCUCACGUUACCUUUGCAGGACAGUAGUGAUGCGUCGCGAACGAAACAGCUCUUAGAGCCGGCUCUUUGAAGUUACACGGUAGUUACAGUCGCAGUAGCACAGGAACAGAGCAGGAGGGAGAGAGAGAGAAAGAGAGCCAGGGGCAAGAACAAGAGACAACCUCAUCACAUCAGAAAGAGGGACUGGAUAAUACCGAAAUCAGAGUCCUGUCGCCUUUACCGGCCGCUGGUCUGGACAAGGAGGUCACAUAUGAGAAGUUUCACCAGGUCAGUCACAGUUUGGGUGACCUCGUUGGACAGUACUUUACUGGGGAGAAGCCAAAAGGUCAACUGGAGAUCGAGGGAAUUCUCAAAGUGGGGACAAAUAUUACGGGUGUAGGCGAGUUGAAGCUGGACACAGAUGGCACUCUGAGUCUUCGACCCCCUUCUAACGGUUCACAGUACUUCCUGACCCCAGUGGACUUCGACGCCACACAAGGAGAGAAUGAGAACUUUUUGGUGGAAAGUGUAGGUCAUUAUUUCUGCUUUGGCAGGGGCAGCAAUCAAUUUCUGGGCCAGGUUACGCUACUACCGCCACCUUGAGGCUCACAGGGAGCAGGAAAGAAAGGAAUUUAACAGACUGCUGGCUGAAGCCGCAAGACAGCAAAAUAAUGUACCAGGACAGGACAACCUUCAAGGCGUGGCCAUGUGUGUUAUUUGCCUCAAUCAGCCCUGUAUCUGUGUCUUGUUGGACUGUGGACACGUGUGCUGCUGCCACACCUGCUACCAGGCUCUGCCACAGCAAUAUUGCCCUAUUUGUAGACAGAGGAUUGUAAGAGUGCUACCUCUGUAUCAAGUCUGACGUAGCUGUGGAAGCAGGUCACCUCAGUAGAAGCUUCGAGUCUAAACUGCUACACUUAUUAAAUCAAAAAUUAAAUGUGAGUCAUGUUGUGAAAACAUUUUGUCCAUAACGGAGAUUUGUUGUGGGAAAUAUGGGAAUAUAAAACAAGUGGAAAAAUGUGUAAACUUGUGCAAUACAGAUGUUUGUUUUGCUGAGUGCUCAUGUGCCUUGUUUUAGCAUUUUCUACUGAGUGAUGGUACUUUAAAGUAAAUGGACUGAUUCUUUUAUAGUGCUUUCCUGCCCUGCCUGAGCACUCAAAGCACUUUACACAACUUCCCUCAUUCACCGGUUCAAGGAAGCAUUUUUUUGCUGGGAUUUUAACUGGGACAGCAGCCUUAAUCCCUCUGAAGACUGAUGACCCAAGCUUUGAAGAAACAGUUGGUGCUACCAGCCAGCUUACACAGACAAAUGCACAUCUGACUACAGCUCCUGGAAUUGAUUGCCUGUACAAAUAUAUCAAUACAGUGGUCGGAAAGAUAGAAAAUACUUCAACAAGUGCUGGGAGCAUAGAAAACUGUUCUAGCUGUUCAAAAAACAAGGAUACGUGGAUGCUCAAAUCUUCACAAUGUACAAACAAAAAAGACUGUGCACUGUGCAGACUGUGGAAACCAUUGUGAAAUUUACCUUCUUGCUGUUGCUGCUAAAUUGCUACUGUAGCCCAAAUCCUCUGUCACCUUCAGAAAUAUCUAUUAGAAGAGAUUUUUCCUGAAAGCCAGUGUGGCUUCCAGUCUUUCACCCACUGUGGACAUGGUCAAAGGAGUUCACCUCUCAUCCGAGAAGCUUCUUCAGUUCUAAGGUCAAAUGGCCGAGGUCCAUCUGACCUCAGGAA